rnacentral:rRNA from 2 species
UCUGGUGAUGAUGGCGAAGAGGUCACACCCGUUCCCAUGCCGAACACGGAAGUUAAGCUCUUCAGCGCCGAUGGUAGUCGGGGGUUUCCCCCUG